rnacentral:rRNA from 1 species
UUGGAGGGCAAGUCUGGUGCCAGCAGCCGCGGUAAUUCCAGCUCCAAUAGCGUAUAUUAAAGUUGUUGUAGUUAAAAAGCUCGUAGUUGAAUUUCGGGAUUCAUACGUUGGUCGGGCUAUUUGGUCUGUACUUAUGUAAUGGAUUCCUACCUUCUGAAUAACCGGCAUGUCAUUAAUUUGGUGCGCCGGGGAAGCAGGACUGUUACCUUGAAAAAAUUAGAGUGCUUAAAGCAGGCUAUUGCCUGAAUACAUUAGCAUGGAAUAAUGAAAUAGGACGGCAUGGUUCUAUUUUGUUGGUUUCUAGGAUCACCGUAAUGAUUAAUAGGGAUAGUUGGGGGCAUUAGUAUUCAAUUGUCAGAGGUGAAAUUCUUGGAUUUAUUGAAGACUAACUUCUGCGAAAGCAUUUGCCAAGGAUGUUUUCAUUAAUCAAGAACGAAAGUUAGGGGAUCGAAGACGAUCAGAUACCGUCGUAGUCUUAACCAUAAACUAUGCCGACUAGGGAUCGGAUGAUGUUAAUUUUUUUUAAUGACUCAUUCGGCGCCUUACGGGAAAC